UUCAUCAUGGUUAAGCAGGCAAAAGCUGAAACAAAAGUUGGGGUUGGAAUUGAAACCCUUUGGAAAGCUUUGGUUGAAGACUUGAGAUUUAUAAUUCCCAACUUCAUGCCCAACACUGUUGAAAAGAUUGAGCUCCUCCAUGGAAAUGGUGGCCUUGGCUCCAUCUUCCUCUUUCAUCUUGCCCAUGUUUCUGAAUAGGACACGUGUUCGUCCCUUCGCGGACAUAGGCCCACUGGGAACUAAUUCUUAGUGGAGAUGUCGUCGAGCAGAAGGCGUGUCUGCUCAUGACAGGACGAAUACCCCAAACGGUUACGCCCCAUACGUAUCCACAACUGGCGGCGCGGCCCUGGGCGACAUGCUCAGGUGACGCAGGCAGCGGGGCUAUUCUGCACUAUCGGGGAUGCGCACCUCUCUGUCCUACCGUACCGCGUGCAACGUCCCUGCCACUUCCAACCGUCGUCCUUCUUGGUCGACCCUUCAGGGCUAUAAAAGGAAGGGCGAUCCUCCACACAAAGUAAGUGAAAAACCUAUCAUUAAACUCUCUAGUGUCUUAUUCCUAUUCUUACUCUGAUUACUGACUUGAGCGUCGGAGUAUAUUAGGCAGGACACCGCAUCGGCAUCGAGUUCUUUGGUUUCAGGUAUGGUGGAUUCAUCUUUGAACUGCUCAUCCGGAGACCACGUGGCCUUUAACCAAAAGGGAAAUUGGUAUAGAUAACCUAAAAAAGUUUACACCUUGCUCAACUGAUCUCAAUUAGAAAAAUUAACUCAAUUGACCUAAUUUUAACUUUUAUGACAUUUCAGAGAGGAUGUAAUGACGAAUAUACCCCCGAAUUAAUUAAACUACAACCAAUCUGGUAUGGCAAUAGUUCGAAUCACGUAGGUUGGUGUAAUUAAAACCAUGGGCGAGUUCGACUUGAUUCAUGACCGUGAAUUUAUUAAAGUACCACCAACUUAUUAAUUCCCCACCAAAUUUUUGUACUAUCAUUUAAUAUAUACCCACACAUUCUCACAGAUUGCAGAGAAUAAAAGUAUGUUUCAACCCUUAUUGUCCUCAUGCACAUCUUUCACGUUUUUUUUCAAAAACUUCCAUACCUAUUCCAACAAUUUUCACAUCUUGAAUACCUUAAAGGAAGACAACUUUUCAUCUUUGACAUCUUGAACGAGGUUAGUUUUUGAUUGGUUCAUAAUAUAUGAUGUAUAUGGUUAGAGUGGAGAAAUUUCUGAACUUUUAUGUGUAUUUUUGUGGGUCAAAAGUUCCGUAAGUCAAUGAUUCAUGAUCGUGUUUCUCGUUUAACGGCCGUGGUCAAUGUUUGUAUGAUUAACGGUCGUGGUAUUAGGUGAUUUCGACCGUGGUUGCAUACAGAUACCCUUGAUCGCCUCACAGCCAUGGUUCGUUUUGUUUGAUUCGCGACCAUGGUUGUAGGUUACCUCGGCCGUGGUUGUUUGAUUCACGGUCGUGGUAGCAUGUUCCCUCGAUCGUGGUCCUUUAUUGUUUGAUUAAUGACCGUGGUAGCAUGUUCCAUCGAUCGUGGUCUUUAUUGUUAAAUUCAUGGUCGUGGUAGCAUAUGUUCCCCCGACCAUGGUUUGAUUCAUGGUUGUGGUAGCAUUUUUCCUCGACCAUGGUCCUAUAUUGUUCGAUUAACGGCCGUGGUAGUAUGUUCCCUCGAUUGUGGUUGUGUGUGCCCCCAGCCGUGUUUGUGUUUUAUAUUAUAGGUCGUGUCUUAAACUAUCACGGCCGUGGUGACUUUAAUUACUAAUUACUUAUGUGUUAUUCUUAUUAUCCAUGCAGGAUGCGUCCACUAUUUGUGAUCUACGAUGACAAGUGGAACGAGGCUGGUACAAUUUACGAAGGUGGCGUCAUGGGUGGGCUAGAUGUUGAUGAAACGAUAACAUAUGUCAACCUAGUAAGUGCCUUGCACAUGCUUACUAGAAUUGAUCCCUGACCAAUUUGAUCUUGUUGUAGAGUGUGUAUAUAGAUUUGAUUUUCACUACGAAGUCCCGAACAAUCUGAUAUUUGAUGAUACCAGUUUGAGAUUCUAUUUGAAUGGCCCUCCCGAUCCAUCACAAGUACCCUUGUACAUAACCGUCGUACCUAAAGCAUCAUAUAGUAGUGGGAGCAGGAGAGGAAAUAAUUUUUUCGAAACUCAUGCAUCGUCUUCAUUCCCAUAAUACCCAGGAUAGAAUGAUCCAUGUUUCGGCCAUUCUAUUUCUAUUGAUUCUCCUCUGGACGAUGUCGGUCUCCCCUCAUUUGUCCCACAGAUUACACCAUUGAUCGGUAACGUUGUCCCAUGUAACCUAGACGGCGACGAAUCUUCAUAUUAUGGUCAAUUGUACGAGAAUGAGGUUGAGUACGAAUUUCGGAGCGAUGAUGAGUAUGAUUAUGACGAAUAUCAUACCGAGGAUGGGGUUGAGAACACUGGUGGGAACGAGUAUGACAAUGGGGAGGAUGAUGAAUAUCAUACCGAGGAUGUGUUUGAAAACCAUUAUGAGAAUGAAGGUCAACAUGUUCAUGGGUCCCAUACAGUGAGUGAGAAUAGUCGUUUCACGUCCGAUGCAAAAUAUCAUAAUUGUCAAUGAGUCUGACUAUGUAGGUGAAAUUGCUCUUAAGGGUAUUUUCCGUUUGAAGGAAGAACUACGCUUCAAGCUGUCUGUGUUAGCUAUAAAGCUUAAUUUCAAAUUUAAGGUUAAAAAAUCGACGAAGACAUUGUACACCGUUGGAUGUACCGAACAAGGUUGAAAAUGGAGUUUGCGUGCAAAGAGUAUCCGAGGUGGUGACUCAUUCAUCAUUUCGAAAUUUAAUGAUGUUCACAAGUGCAAAUGUGAAAUACUGAACCAUGACCACAGGCAAGCUCGGAGUUGGGUGAUUGGUUAGUUAUUGAAGUCCAAUCUGGAGGAUGUCAGCCGUCAGUACAGACCUAAGGACAUUAUUAACGACAUGCGAAAGAACUAUGGGGUGAACAUUAGAUAUGAAAAGGCAUGGCGGGACAGAAAUGUUGCCUUGAAUUUGCUUAUGGUAAAGCAUUUUAAGGUUGUUAACGCAAGCACUGUUUUUGAAGUGGAGCUGGAGGAAGAUAAGUAUUUUAAGUACGCGUUCAUGGCCCUCGAUUGCUGUAUUAGAAGGUUCUCCAGUUGUAUCCGCCCAGUGCUCGUGAUAGAUGGUGCACAUCUCAAGGGUAAAUAUAAAUGUGUUAUUUUUAUUGCUUCUUCUGUUGAUGGCAACAAUCAAAUAUAUCUUCUUGCGUUUGAAAUUGUCGAUCAGGAGAGUGAUCAAUCCUAGACUUGGUUUUUGAAUAUGGUCAAGAUUUGUAUUGGAGAGGUUGAUGAGUUAUUAUUCGUAUCUGAUCGACAUGUUGCCAUUACGAAAUUUGUUAAGUAGGUCUUUCCUCAAGCGACUCACGGAAUGUGCAUGCAGCAUUUGUCCACGAACCUUAAGGACAAUUUCAAGGACGAUGCCAUACAAGAAAUGUUCAUAUUAACAGCAAAGGUCUGUCGAAAAUCAUAGUUCAGGUACUAUUUUUCCCAACUAGCAGGAUUUCUAGAAGUCCAAAGAUACUUGGAAGGAAUCGGUUUUGAAGAUGGACUUGUACAUUUCAACUGGGUUUGAGGUAUGACCAAAUGACAUCUAAUAUUGCAGAGUCUAUGAAUGUAGUCCUCGUCCAUGCACAUUAUCUGCCAGUCACUGCACUUCUUGAACAUGCUCGUGCGCUCUUACAAUGCUGGUUUUACGAAAGGCAAACCUACGCAUCCAGUCGCGAAACCAUUCUUACUUACUACGGUGAGAAUAAGAUGAGUACUGCAGAGAACCUCUCUCGUACUCACUCCAUCACACCCAUUGACCACUAUGAGUUGGAGGUGAACGAUGGACUAAAAAAGGUGCGUGUGAAUUUAAAUGCAAGAACAUGUGGAUGUAAAGAGUUUGACUACUUCCAGUUUCCUUACUCCCACGCUAUUGCAGCGACCACCUAUCAGAACGAGAACAUGUACAUACUAUGCUCAUCUGCAUAUACUCUCCAAACUCUCAUUAACGUAUAUGUCGAACUUGUGUACUAUCUCGACGAUGAGGAGGAUUGGAUUUUACUUGAUGACUUCGUCGACCUUAAGGUGAAGCCGCCCAAAUUUGUUUCGCGUGUUGGGCGACGUCGAACUGUACGAAUUCCAUCUGUUGGGGAGACCCGCCAAGUCCAAAAAUGCGAUCGGUGUGGCAACAUGGGACAUAAUAGAAAAACAUGCCACCAACCACUAAGAACUACAGAUGGAGACAUGUAAAACAUUAGCUGCACUAUUAUCUGGAUUUUGGAAAACGUUGUACUCUUAUUCACUUUUCUAUUAUUCAACCGAACCACUUGAUAUAUUUUUCAUUA